UUCUUCUUCCUCUCAAACGACGAAGCGACGCGCUUCCUGAGCUCACCGGAAACGGCUUCGAAACGCCACCCUUCCUUCGUAACCUCCAUCCCGUUUCCAUCCUCAAUAUAGACCUCAACACAAUCUCACUCUUCUCUCUAAUUUGGUAACAUCACAGAAAACCCUAACCUAAAUCUGAAAUUGAACAAAAAUCUUGGAGCUAGUUCGGGGAAUUCCGAUGACGGUGAAGGGCUCAGUUCAGGUUUGUGUAUGUUGAAGAAGGAGUUUAUGGAGAGUUUUUGUAUGGUUGCGUUCUUGUUGAGUUUUGUACAAGGAUUUGAGGGAAUGAGUUGGAGUUGAAGGACUAAUUUUGUAUAUUCUACAGGUUGAAUUUGGUGCAAUUCUUGUUGGCUAUAAAAACAGGGUGCAGCCAAUGCUAAUAUUAGGAGGAUGAUUGUGCUGCUGUUAUGUAUGGUGGAUAGCUUAACUACUUGCUUAAUAAAAAAUUUAUAUGAUGAGUUUAUGCAUUAUUCUUGUUGUCUGAACUCGACUUAUUCAUGCUUAAAAGUGUGUAUUCAAUAUGAAAUUAUGUAGUUUCUUUGACCCAACAACUUUGUUACUACAAAAUAAAUACUUGUAUUUUUUAUUUUAGCAGAAAAUAAGACAUUAAAAGGCUUAACAACUUAAGGCCUACGAAAGAAAUUGGAGCUGCCAAUUUUUGGAAGAAAAAAGCGACCUAAACCAGUAUACAGGUUUGAGAAACCAAACAACAAUCAUUUAUAGGAAAAGAAUAAUCUCUCUACAUAGAAGGUAAAGAAAUCACUGACAAACCACAUUGAGCAUGUCUAAACAAAUCCCUUUGUGCUUUAUUUUGAUAUUCUCUUUUGAGUAAUAAUAUAUAUUUCCAUCUGUUUGGUUCUUUUAAAUCAAGAAAUAAAAUUUGUAUGAAAAUUUCUAGUCUUAUAAUCAUGUUGGAUGCUAAGUCUGUUAAUGCUAUUUAUGUACCUUCAAGAAACAUCAUCCUUCAUUUCUAGAUUUUCUACACAUAAGAGAAACUGAAAAAGACAGUUCUCAUACAAUCAAUAAGCUUUUCAUACUAUUUGAAUUUUUGAUAUAAAUAACUCAUUUAGUCAAUAUGUAUUAUACUCCGUUAUUAACUUUAUUUUUUUUCUUCUUCUUAUUCUUAUAUGUAUACAUGCGAUGGACAAUUGAAGAUAUAUUAGAAGUUGAUUUGUGCAUUGUUGGAAAGUCAAUUAUGGCCAUCGAGGAGUCACGUUCGACUGGAGAGAACUAGUUUUCUUA